CCUACGGGUGGCAGCAGUGGGGAAUAUUGCACAAUGGGCGAAAGCCUGAUGCAGCAACGCCGCGUGAGCGAUGACGGCCUUCGGGUCGUAAAGCCCUGUCCUCAAGGAAGAUAAUGACGGUACUUGAGGAGGAAGCCCCGGCUAACUACGUGCCAGCAGCCGCGGUAAUACGUAGGGGGCUAGCGUUAUCCGGAAUUACUGGGCGUAAAGGGUGCGUAGGUGGGUUCUUAAGUCAGAGGUGAAAGGCUACGGCUCAACCGUAGUAAGCCUUUGAAACUGGGAAUCUUGAGUGCAGGAGAGGAGAGUGGAAUUCGUAGUGUAGCGGUGAAAUGCGUAGAUAUUAGGCAGAACACCAGUGGCGAAGGCGGCCUGCUGGGCUUUUACUGACGCUGAGGCUCGAAAGUGUGGGGAGCGAACAGGAUUAGAUACCCCUGUAGUC
rnacentral:rRNA from 1 species